rnacentral:rRNA from 1 species
ACCCCACUGCUAUCGGGAUAGGACUAAGACAUGCUAGUUGAGCGCUUCCAGCCAACACGGGAGCGCAGCGCACAGCUCAGUAACACGUGGCUAAUCUGCCCUUGGGACUGGAACACCCCCGGGAAACUGGGGCUAAUUCUCGAUAGGUGAAGAACUCUGGAAUGAGUCUUUGCCAAAAAGACGUUUACGUUAUGCUCGUAGGCGUCGCCCAAGGAUGAGGCCGCGACCGAUCAGGUUGUUGGUGAGGUAAUGGCUCACCAAGCCUUUUACCGGUGCGGGCCGUGAGAGCGGGAGCCCGGAGAUGGGCACUGAGACAAGGGCCCAGGCCCUACGGGGCGCAGCAGUCGCGAAAACUUUGCAAUACACGAAAGUGUGACAGGGCUAUCCCGAGUGCCAUCCGCUGAGGAAGGCUUUUACCCAGUCUAGAACGCUGGGGGAAUAAGGAGAGGGCAAGUCUGGUGUCAGCCGCCGCGGUAAUACCAGCUCUCCGAGUGGUGUGGAUGUUUAUUGGGCCUAAAGCAUCCGUAGCUGGCUAAGUUAGUCCCUUGUUAAAUCCACCGAAUUAAUCGUUGGAUUGCGGGGGAUACUGCUUGGCUAGGGGACGAGAGAGGCAGACGGUAUUUCCGGGGUAGGGGUGAAAUCCUAUAAUCCCGGGAAGACCACCAGUGGCGAAGGCUGUCUGCUAGAACGCGCCCGACGGUGAGGGAUGAAAGCUGGGGGAGCGAACCGGAUUAGAUACCCGGGUAGUCCCAGCUGUAAACGAUGCAGGCUAGGUGUUUGGACGGCCACGUGCCGUUCUAGUGCCGCAGGGAAGCUGUUAAGCCUGCCGCCUGGGGAGUACGAUCGCAAGAUUGAAACUUAAAGGAAU